rnacentral:rRNA from 1 species
AUACGGAGGAUCCGAGCGUUCUCCGGAUUUAUUGGGUUUAAAGGGUGCGCAGGCGGCCAUUUAAGUCAGCGGUUAAAUCGUGGGGCUCAACCCCAUUCUGCCGUUGAUACUGGGUGGCUUGAUUGCGGUCGAGGUUGGCGGAAUUCGUUGUGUAGCGGUGAAAUGCAUAGAUAUGACGAAGAACACCGAUUGCGUAGGCAGCUGACCAGAUCGCAAAUGACGCUCAUGCACGAAAGUGCGGGGAUCGAACAGGAUUAGAUACCCUGGUAGUCCGCACAGUAAACGAUGAAUACUUGUUUUCGGCGAUAUAAUGUCGGAGGCAAAGCGAAAGCGAUAAGUAUUCCACCUGGGGAGUACGCCGGCAACGGUGAAACUCAAAUGAAUUGACGGGG